GUCAGGAAUGGUGGUUCAUGCCGGUAGUUCCAGCUACUCAGGAGGCUGAGGUGGGAGGGCCACUUGAGGCCAGAAGUUCUGGGCUGUAGAGCAUUAUGCCAGUGGGGUGUCCGCACUAAGUUCAGCAUCACUAUGGUGACCUUCUGGGAGUAGGGGACCACCAGGUUGCCUAAGGAGGGGUGAACUGGCUGAAGUCAAAAACAAAGCAGAUUAAAACUCUCAUGCUGAUCUGUAGUGAGAUCAUACAUAUGAAUAGCUACUGCACUUCAGGCUUGGUAACAUAGACAGACCCCCAUCUCA
rnacentral:SRP_RNA from 1 species